rnacentral:rRNA from 1 species
AGUGAACGCUGGCGGUAGGCCUAACACAUGCAAGUCGAACGGCAGCACAGUAAGAGCUUGCUCUUACGGGUGGCGAGUGGCAGACGGGUGAGGAAUACAUUGGAAUCUACUUUUUCGUGGGGGAUAACGUAGGGAAACUUACGCUAAUACCGCAUACGACCUACGGGUGAAAGCAGGGGAUCUUCGGACCUUGCGCGAUUGAAUGAGCCGAUGUCGGAUUAGCUAGUUGGCGGGGUAAAGGCCCACCAAGGCGACGAUCCGUAGCUGGUCUGAGAGGAUGAUCAGCCACACUGGAACUGAGACACGGUCCAGACUCCUACGGGAGGCAGCAGUGGGGAAUAUUGGACAAUGGGCGCAAGCCUGAUCCAGCCAUACCGCGUGGGUGAAGAAGGCCUUCGGGUUGUAAAGCCCUUUUGUUGGGAAAGAAAAGCAGCAGGUUAAUACCCCGCUGUUCUGACGGUACCCAAAGAAUAAGCACCGGCUAACUUCGUG